GUAUACAGUAAUAUUCAGAUCACGGGCAGCGCGUGGUGCGCGCGCGCAUACAAUGUGUCGCGUCAAGUUUUGUAUUUCGUUUACUCAAAUGAGACUAAGUUUAAGUUUGUUUUUUACCAAAAGUGGAAUACUAGGCAAGUUCUUUUUUGUUUAGUUUUUUAUAGCGUCUUGAUUCGUCGUAGAAAGCGUAACUUGAUGUGGAAUUCGUGGCUCUACGCUCUCAACAAAGCAGAAUGCGACGGCUGUGGCAGCGACACCGACGAAGGUCGAAAUGUGGGGGAAUUGCUGCUGCCCCAGUACGCGCUCGCGACCGGGGGCCUCGCGAAAGACCACCGACCGCUCAUCACCUUCCCCGACAACAAUAACUUCCAUCUCAUCACCGCUUCGGAAUACAGACGGCUGUUACUCUACCUCACUUCUGUACCAACGAUACUAGAAGCUGAUAUGGGCUUCCACAUAAUAAUAGAUCGCAGAAAAGACAGAUGGAAUUCAGUUAAAACAGUAUUAUUAAGGGUUUCGGAAUUUUUCCCCGGUAUCAUCCACGCCGUAUACGUGUUAAGACCAGCCAGUUUCCUCCAGAAAGCCUUAUCUGAAGUGAGCAGUAAACUUUUCAAGGAGGAAUUUAGAUUUCGCGUUCACGUGUGUUCGUCCAUCGAAGAGUUAUACGAACACUUCGAUAAAUCACAACUAACGCCCGAUCUCGGGGGAGAGCUGCAGUAUUCACAUUCAGAGUGGAUACAACAACGGAUAGCACUGGAGAAGUUUUCUACCCUUAUGAAAGAAAUCUCAAGUAAAUUGGACCACUUUAUGCAUGGAAUCGUGGACUGCGAUAUGGGUAAUGACCCUUCACAAACCAAAGAUUUAUUAAACUGUCAGGAAUCUAGAUAUAAAGCUUUAAAAACAGAACUGGCGUCAGCGACAGCGCAAGGCGAAGAGUUGUUGACGCAAGUGCGAAAACCAAAUCUUACUUAUAAUAUUAUUAGUCACGUCGCUGCUGUAGAAAGGCUACUGGUGCAACUAGAAGAGACUGAAAAACAAUUCGACAAUUUCUGGCAGAAACAUUCCAUGAAAUUAAACCACUGGUUAAAAUUUAGGACGUUUUUAUUAAAUUUUAAGCAAAUGCAGGCGACUUUAGAUGGUCAUCUAAAAACCGCGUGCGAUAUGACCGAGGUCGGUGAAACUGCAAGCAGAGUCGAAAGUCUCAUACAGGAGGCAUGUGAUUUCGAGAAACUCUGUAACUGUGAUCUCACUACUGCUAAAGAAGUUAUAGACGAUGGUGAGCAAUUAAUGCAGGACCCAUUAAGUUCCGUUGACCACAUAGAGUCGAAAUGUGAAGAGCUAAGACGAACAAGUUCAUUACUGUUAGAUAAAAUCCAAAAACGAAAUCUAUUACUGGCCAAAGCGAGGGAACUCAUGGACAGGAUAGACAAGGCGAACGAAUGGUGCGCGACCGGAGUGGAAUUACUGGCUGGAGACAGGGGAUUGGUGGCAGUGGAUAAGUUGCUGAAAGACGCUGAGAGCUUUGGUCUAACUGCUCCCGACCAGUUCCGAGAUAUGCUGAUGCAAUCGGCCACCCAGGAAACGAGAGCUUUGGUUACACAGGUGGCCCAACGAGUGGAGGACAUGUGGCUGAUGGUGACGGUGAAGCGUGCGACGCUGCAGCGCGCCGCCGCCAAGCCCGCGCGGCCCGUGCAGACCGUGCCCCCGCAGAGCGCAACACUCGCACAGGCCAACCAGAUGGAGACAUCAGGGGGAUCAGAGAGUUCUGGUGGGGAGGACGCAGAAGCUCGGCGGUCGCGGCGCGGUCAUGUCCUCGCCGAGCUGCUACAAACCGAGAGGGUCUACGUUCAAGAGCUAGGCUCCAUUCUCACAGGUUACAAAGAAGAAAUAGAAAAAUCAGAAAACCAAAAUCUAUUGCCGUCAACAUUAGUCGGACAAGCAGAUGUGCUGUUCGGUAAUCUACACGAACUCUUCACAUUCCACCAGGACGUGUUCCUAAAAGAUUUGGAACGAUCGAUCUCAGCGACAGAACUUGUUGCACUGUGUUUUGUGGAAAAAAGGGAGACGUUCUUCCGUUUGUAUAGCUAUUAUUGUCAGAACAUCCCACGUUCUGAACGUCUCCGCGAGACGCUCGUGGACACACACCUGUUUCUACAGGCGUGUCAACUGAGGCUCGGACACAAACUACCUCUAGCGGCAUACCUACUCAAACCUGUGCAGAGGAUCACAAAAUAUCAAUUAUUAUUAAAAGACUUACUCCGAUACAGCGAGUGCGGCUCGAUGACGACCGGCUUGCAGCAAGCACUCGACUGCAUGCUCGUAGUGCUCAAGUGCGUCAAUGAUUCCAUGCAUCAAAUUGCAAUCACCGGCGUACCUGUGGAUCUCAGCCAACAGGGCGAGCUACUAAUGCAGGGCUCGUUUCUGGUGGUGUCUGAGAAUAAACGAGAUCUCCGGCUGAGGAUACGGCCGCGUCGAAGGCAUAUCUUCCUUUACGAAAAGGCGAUGCUCUUCUGCAAACCCGCUACCAAAAACAGCCAUAAUAAAGCCACUUAUCACUUCAAACACGACCUUCAGAUGUCGCAAAUCGGUCUAACAGAAUCAGUGAAAGGCGAUCCACGCAAAUUCGAAGUAUGGCGGCAAGGUAGACAAGAAGUGCACACAAUAACAGCGCCCAAUGUCGAAGUGAAGAGGGCGUGGGUGGACCGCAUCAAGCGGGUGCUGCUCGACCAACUGAAGGAGUUGAAGGGCGAACGAGUCCGGCAGUACGGGGCACAGCAUCAUAGAACACUAAUUCAAACAAAUUCGUGGGACGUCGGCCCCGGUAAUCCUCCUCGAGGAGUUCCCCCUGGCGCGGCAGCACCCACUCACCCCACGCAUCCGGCGGCGCCAACACACCCCCCGCGCACCGCCUCCUGCGACACACACGACGAGCCCUGCUGGUCCACUGACCCCUCCGACGACGAUGACGACGAGCCCGACCAUACGCCGGUGACGGAGGCCGUCGGUCUCAACGGUACCAUACACAGAAUGGUACAGUUCUUUUCGGUAUCGGGCUCCACGCAAGCCACCUCCACGUUUUACGUAUCACAGUACUGAUAGUGUACAUACCCUUUACAAGCGCACAGCGUGUAGAGGUUUUGUAAAUACAAUGAAAAGAGACUGAUUUAAUAUCCAAAGUUUUGUAACCAAAGAGUAAACAACGAACGUGGAUAUGUCAGUUGUAAUUGCCGAACAUUAAUUAUCCGUGCGGUGGGGUGCGCGUUAGUUGCGCUGUCAGACUACACGGCGGUGGGCGCGAGCGAGGUGUCGCUGAGGGAGGGCCAGCACGCUGAGCUACUGAAAGUUGGCUGCGCUGGGUGGUGGUAUGUGCGGCUUGCA
rnacentral:misc_RNA from 1 species